UUCUCCAUAUUGAGCAACAACAGCUUUGCAUUCCUGACUAACAACUCCAGUUGCUCCAAUGGCAUGGUUCACUUCAGCAAUGAUACCCUGUAUAUUAAAUGCAAAAACAGAAUAAGUCAAACACCAGUGGACACUAACAGUGCUCAUCAAUCACUAAUCAACAUCACCAUCAACUACCCAGAUGAUAAUGCUACCAAAUAUGGUUCAACACAGCAGAAAACCCAAAAGCCAAAAAGGAAUAGGUCCUUGCAAAAGAGGGAACAUCAUUUACCACAGAACAUCAAAUCAAAUGGACAACUACCAGAUCAAAGACAAAAGACCUCACAUGUUGCCAUCAAGUAGAGAACAAAAAAAAUAUACCCUCCGUAAAAUACCCAAUUGGAAGGAAACAGAAGCAAAUAUCCAAUUGGAGAAAGUACAAACAUAAUUCAUUAUGUCCUUGGAACAAUAAUUGGUCUAUUUAGAAGCUUGUUAGUUCCUUCAGCAAAUGGCCUCCCCUUUGUCAUUCAGAAGCAAGCACGGGCAUAGGAAUACAUUAAAUUCUGCUGGGAACUGCUACCUCCCUACUUUUUUCCCAUUAAGAAGAAGAAGUGCAGGAUCAUCUAUAUAUUAGAAAUUCUAAAAGAAUUGGUCAUAUGAGAGUACUCUCAGGUAAAUGGACCCAACAUAUCAAGCACUAUGCAGAGUUAUAAUGUAAAAGAAACAUAAUUGACAACACACCGUGGGACCAGCCAACAAAGAUGUUCCAGAAUCAGCAAUUGCAGCACAGCCACUGCCGCAAAUUCCAGUUGUUUUACCAUCA
rnacentral:misc_RNA from 1 species